GAUGAACGCUAGCGAUAGGCUUAACACAUGCAAGUCGAGGGGCAGCACAAGGUAGCUUGCUAUCUGGGUGGCGACCGGCGCACGGGUGCGUAACGCGUAUGCAACUUGCCCUAUACAGGAGGAUAACCCGUCGAAAGACGGACUAAUACUGCGUAUGCUCACAACUUGGCAUCAAGUGGUGAGGAAAGAAAUUCGGUAUAGGAUAGGCAUGCGUCCCAUUAGCUUGUUGGUGAGGUAACGGCUCACCAAGGCAACGAUGGGUAGGGGAACUGAGAGGUUUAUCCCCCACACUGGUACUGAGACACGGACCAGACUCCUACGGGAGGCAGCAGUGAGGAAUAUUGGUCAAUGGGCGCGAGCCUGAACCAGCCAAGUCGCGUGAAGGAUGACUGUCCUAUGGAUUGUAAACUUCUUUUAUACGGGAAUAACAAGAGUCACGUGUGACUCCCUGCAUGUACCGUAUGAAUAAGCAGCGGCUAACUCCGUG
rnacentral:rRNA from 1 species